UUUCAAAGACUGUAGAUCUCAGAUUGAGAACUCCUGGUUGAAUGCUUUGGAGAAGAUCUGGGCUCCAUGCUUUGGAAGAGUUCAGAGUCUGGAAUCAAGAGGUGGACCCUUCUGAGAUCUCUUUAAUUUUUUCAUUGUCCUUGUGGAUGUGGGACAAGUCCCUCUUGAAUGGCAACGUCCAAGCUUCUUUGAUGGUGAACAGCCUGGAUCUCUCCUCAUGGCAGCUGUAGGAAACACAGGAACUCCGUGACCUGGAAAAUGUGGGACAACUGCCACAAGGUGACCCUGGAAGGCUGGGAAUGUAAACUGCACGGGGCCAGAGAUCUCUCUUUGGUUCAUGGACAGCUCCACGGCCUACCUGGAACACUGCCUGAUGAUACAUGAACUAGAGAACUGUAUAAAGACAUGAAGUCCCUUCCUCUCAAAUCUGCAAAAAGUAAGUAUCUGUGUUCAUGAGUAUCGUAUCCAUCCAAGUCCACCAGAUUUCCAAACUGAUGAAACUUUCUUGCUUUUACUCCAGUUGGACAACAUUGACAAAUUUGAUAUUUUUUGACUUUAUGCUUAGGAGAAAUGUAUGUGAGCUUUAUUCUUUAAUAUUGAGAAAAUAUUUGAUAUUUAUUUAUCACUUGAAAAUCAGGAUGGUCAUGAAAUACAAAAAAGGGAGAAGGAAUAAUGGAAGUGUUUUGAAAGUAUUCUAAGUAGUACAUCACCUUUGAGAGGGAAACUUGCUGGAAUUUUCUAUUCAGUAAAAAAAAUCAUAACGAAGUUGGUUUUAAAAACCAAUUGUAUCAGAUGUAGAGGAGGUUAGAUAAAUUUUAAGGUCAAAUUUGAAGUCACAGGGAAGAUAAUACAGACUUUAUUCUCAAGUACAGCUGCCAGGAAUGUAUUUAAGCCUAUUAAUAAACAGAUAAAGAUCCUUUGUUUCUUCUGCUUUUACUCUUGCUCUUUGAAUCUUUACAUGAUUUCUCUGCCCACAUUUUCUCUAAAUCAUUUUUUCCCAAAGAAUGGUUUUACAUGGCAGUUCGCCUCCUACAUCCUUCUACCCCAGUAUUCAAUCUUUUUAUAAGCAUACGAAGAGAAAGAGAACUAAUAAUACAGUCAACACUUGAUCUUCUCAAUGAAAUUACUUAGGCAACUGAAGUACUCUCUAUCCACGUUGAAACUGUAAAAAUUAUUUGCAUUAACAUUUCUUACGAUUUGUGUUAUAUUGGCACUCAUAUCCCACAUUUUAUAGAAAUAUUUCUAAUUAAAGCCCAGUGGUCUGAAUUUCAAGUAUCUAGGCAAUGACUCUUGUUAUGUAAUAAUCGCUAUUUAAAACAUGAAAUUAAAAAGAAAAAACCCAAACCAAAGAAAAUAAAGCUGCAGGUCGGCGAGAUCAUGAGAUACGUGGUUUGAAUAGGGGAGUUGCAAACCUUGUUAUUCAAAAAACUGGAAAACUGGGAAAGCUUCCUUCUCUCCAUGAAUUUUAAAGAGUGAGCAAGCUUAACCCACUGAACACAACUCUGAAAUGUUUCUAAUUCCCUUAUUAUCAAUGGAGGUAGACCAGAGAAUGUGAAGAGAAUUUUACCUUAGGGAAAUGUACUGCUGUGCAUUUUCAGUAACUGUAUAGUCCAUUUCUGCCUCUAUGCUUGAAAAUCAACAGCAUGUUAACAGGACGAUUGCCUACACUGUGGCUCUGUCUGUUUAGGAUUAGGCCAUUAAAUAUUGAUGGAGAUAAUUGUUCCUGCACUUGAACAUCAGAAAGAUGGAACUAAGAGUAGUUUAACUGGCAUUUGCCUUUAUGCUCGGUAAACAGAGAGCUGGAUUUCAAAGUAUAGAGGGAUAAGUAUUACCAUGUGCUCAGUUCCACAGCCAAGGCAUCAUUGAUCAGAAACUGUGGUUUGUAAAAAUGUUAUAGUGAAGUUCAGUGAAACAAUUCAGCUGAGCUUUGUUGGAAUUUACUGAAAUAGAAUCUGAUAGACCUGCGUCGUGAGAACAUGCAUGCAAGGAUCUCUUGCCAUUUGUCUAGUUAUUUUUUUAA